UGCGCGCAAAACACGAACUGGAUAUUGAUUUUAAUCAGGAGAAAAACACAGUUUUAAAGUAGAAAAAUAAAGAAAUGGCGUGCAACAGAGCUGCUGUUUGUUAAUGAAGUGCCUCAAUGAUGGAGSCAACGGUUGCUGGACUCUGACCUCUAUCUACAAUCUGGAGCUCAACUGAGACUGCACAUACACGGGCAAAGGAACUGGUUAUACUGACCAGCUUCACCCACUGUUUCUUGACACAAGGCUCGGGCCAAACUACAUCUCAUGGGCAGAUGCUCCAGUUGUGAAGAAGGAGCUGAGCUGUCAAGUGAAGAUGGUCUGUCUGUGCUCCAACCUUAACCUAUGGUUGUAUGGAUCAUGACUGAAAUACAAGCAGCUGGAAUUACCUUCCUCUUCAGGGUUACCUCAGUGUUGGAGACCAGGUGAAGAGCCAACUUAUUCUCACUCCCAAGUCGUCACAUAUUGACGCUUUCCCAAGGUUCCCUCUGCGUCCGAUUUUGACGAAUUGGGUACCCCCCUCGCAUCAGUUAUUGAUGAGAUGGGGUGGAAACCGUUGUCAYAAUUUCAGAAAGUGUAGAAAAUGCAUUAAAACUACCGUCCCAAAUCCUAAAGUUACCUUUAUUCACUGUAGACAUGCUGUCCCUGACCCUAGUACCUAAAAUUAACCAUUUUUAGAAAAUGUAGGAAAUUCA